UUGAACUUUUGUUGUUGCUACUUUUCACCCUGGCCUGUGUCCAGUGUCAGUCUCAACAGAAGGUCUCUCAGUGGCCCUCACAGAUGGUCGUGACCCAGGGCUCCUCUGUGGAGCUCCAGUGCAGUCAGAGCAGCUCCGACCAGAACAUGUACUGGUACCGCCAGCAGAGCUCUACAGGGCUACACCUCGUCAUAUUUUCUGUCUACAUGAGUACACCAGAGAAGGGAGAGAACAUCGGUGAUAGAUUUACCAGCACAAGACUGAAAAUGGAGAAUAUCUCUCUCACUAUCAGUCAGGCUGAGGAGUCAGACACAGCAUUUGUAAAGGGAGCUGAUGUCACCCAGACACCCAAGCAGGCUGUGAUGAAGACUGGGGAUUCAGUUGAGAUCUCCUGCUCUCACAAGGACAACAGUUUACAGUAUUUAUACUGGUACUGGCAGCUGCCUGGCAAAGGCAUCGAAUUGAUCGCAUACAUCCUCACAAAUCAGAAGGCAACAUUUGAAAAAGACUUCAAUGACAGGACAGAAAGAUAUGAAAUAAAGAAGCCAGAGGUACUCUCUGGAUCAUUCGGGAUCAAAGUCCUGCAGAUAUCAGACAGUGCUGUAUACUUCUGUGCAGCGACUCAGCACAGUGGGGCAGUAUUGCCUGUCCGAUGAACAAAAAGUCAUGCGGGGAGACAGCCUACCAGUAGGGGGAGCCAAUGAUUAUGUUUUAUUGUAAGCUUCAGUAAGAAGUUUGUUGAAAUAUAGAAGUGUGAACUUUCACAGCAUGGUGCCUAGUUGGAGCUCAGAAAGCGAU